GACGUAGGGCGCGAGCGUUGUCCGGAAUUAUUGGGCGUAAAGAGCUCGUAGGCGGUCUGUCGCGUCUGCUGUGAAAACUCAGGGCUUAACCCUGAGCUUGCAGUGGGUACGGGCAGACUAGAGUGUGGUAGGGGAGACUGGAAUUCCUGGUGUAGCGGUGGAAUGCGCAGAUAUCAGGAGGAACACCGAUGGCGAAGGCAGGUCUCUGGGCCACUACUGACGCUGAGAAGCGAAAGCAUGGGGAGCGAACAGG
rnacentral:rRNA from 1 species